GGGCGGGGUUAGAGAUCAGUGCUGAUAGAAAAGUUGUGGCGAUGAAAGUUUUCUCUCACUCGUCAUGAACCUCAAAUCUACGCUGCAUUGUCAGGAUUAGCUCACCGUGGCGAAAUGAAUUGUGAUUCUUAUAUCUAGCCUUUUUUUUAACCACGAUAUUCCAUGGUUAAGCUGGCACUAGAAAAUUAAACAACACCUUCUGGCCAACUAGGCAAACUAAGAAUUAGAGGGCUGACAGUCUGUGGAACUGUCAUAAGGUGAGAGAGAACAGAACAGAACAAUGGCCAAUAUCCAAACACAUCAUCAUCAUAAGUCAACUCAUCACCAACAUGAACACUGUCAUCCCACUGUCAUCCCACCUGGAUCCCACCUGACUAAGAGCCAUAAUACAUCAGACUGUGACAAUACUGACCAUCACCUUCCUCACAGUGUUCAUAGCCAUGAUACCCAGGAGCAUGCUGAUAUUCACCACAAUCCCCACCAUCAUCACCAUCAUAAGCAACAUAAGAAACACCAUAGAAGCACUAAGUCCCAUCAAAGAACAUCAACUAUCUCAUCAAAUGCCUCCAUUUCAUCUGCUGGUUCUUCCGUAUGCUCUUCCUUCUCAUCAUCAGCAUCAUCCUCAUGUUCUUCAUCUUCAGGUUCAUCGUCCUCUUCAUCCUCCACUACUUCUGCCUCCACUUCUUCUAAUUCUUCAUCUUCCUCCUCUUUCAGUUCUUCCUCUUCAUCUAGAUCUUCAUCUAGAUCAUCCUCUUGGUCUUCUGAAAGCAGCCUGGGAAAUACCAAAUUUGCUUCUAAGUUCAAGAAAGGUGCUCGACAUCCACAACAUUCCCAGUCCUGCACUGACAUCUCCAGACGAAGGAGAGCAUUUGAGGAAGAUGAAGAAGAUACUGUGCCUUUGUUGAAUGAGGAUGGCCAUGUCAACAAGUCUUCAAGUAUUAAAAAGUACUUGUCUAUGAAGAAAAAAUGUAAAGACCCUAUCAAGGGGCCAGAAUCAUCCCACAUGCCAUCUAGAAAAAGCUCCCUAAAAAAGAAAAAUGGUCAGACUGAAAUCUUUCGAAAAGCAAAGUCCAUGGAGGUGCUCCCAGUGCAGAACAAACAGUCUGGUGAAGGAGAAUUAGAUGAAAAAGAAAUUGAGAGGAGGAAAGAGGAAGCAAAAAAGAACAUGAUGGAGGAAAAAAUGAAGUUUUCUGCCUUUCUAAAUGAGAUCACCAGGCAAGUAAUUAGUCCCUCCAGGCUACAGAGUCUUGGGGUAACGGAUGCCCACAGGGAUAUAAGUCCUGCCAAGUCUCAAAAUUCAGAGGGCAAAGGACACAAGAAACCAAAACAUUCUUCCAAACGGUCUGGAAGUACAAACUCUGUGUCAUCUAGUGCACCAUCCCACACCAGAAAGCAUGCCUCUGCAAAUAAGAAGCCUGGUCAUCUUUACCAUUCCAACAAAACUUCAAAUUCAAUCAAACACCACCAUCAUCACCACCAUCACAAAACUGCACAUAGGAAUCCCAAGCCUCUUCACUAUAGUGAGAACAAACACAAUAGCAAUAAAACUGGAUCACCUAAAAGCAUUUUGACAAGGUCAGAACAUGGCCAUAAGGUACACAAAAAGCAACAAGCUCAGUCCAGUAGUCAUUUAACAAAUGAGAUUGCCAUGGAUACAAAAAGGAAUACACCAAGAACCCGAUCUCUCUCACCAAUACCUCAUCACCAUUACAAUCGUGAUCACUCCCAUGGAAGUGAUCAGCAUAGUUCAUCAUCACGCCCUCAUUCUCCAUCCCAUCACCCUCAUCAUAGAACUCACCGAAGCCCAGAUCAUCAUUCUUCGCAUACCAAAUGUCAUCAUUCCCAUUUGGAUUCUCAUCGCCGCCAUUCACCUUCUCUAUCGCACCACCACCACCGAAAAACACACCAUCAUGUUCCAGAUUCAGAAACUCACCAUCGCCAUCAUUCCCGCUCAGAAUCUCAUAACCACCAUCAUGAUGAUGACCACAGCACAUCCUCAAAUAAACAUUCUCCAUGCUCUGAAACUGACCAUCAUCCCCACUCAGAAUCUCACCACCAUGUUCCAUCUUCUCCAUUGUACCAUCACCAUCCAGGUGACCAAAGACACUCAUCCCCACAUUUAAAAAGUCGAAAUCAUCAUUCUCCCUCUCUUUCACAUCAACACCAUCAUAGUGAUGGUGAUCACCGAAGCCCAUCCCCACAUCGGUAUUCUUUAUACUCAAAAAAUGAUGACAAUUCCCAUUCAGAAUCUCUUCACCGUUCACCUUCACGUCAUUACCAUCAUAAUGAUGGCAAUCACAGCUCAUCCCCUUCUGCAUCACAACAUCACCAUCAUGGAGAUCAGAGAAGCCCAUCCCCACAACAUCAUUACUCACUCUUGAAAAGUCAAGACCAUAUAGAAUCUCAUCAACAUCGUUCACCUUCUCCAUUGCACCACCUUCAUCAAGACCACAAAAAUCCACCUCCACAUUAUUCUACUUUGCACUCAAAAACUCAUGGUCUCCAUUCCCAG
ensembl:lncRNA